GGGGUGUAGGACCCAGUCAGGUCUUUAUAUAACAAUAUAACAAGUCAUACUGUGGGGUGUUGGACCCAGUCAGGUCUUUAUAUAACAAGUCAUACUGUGGGGUGUUGGACCCAGUCAGGUCUUUAUAUAACAAUAUAACAAGUCACACUGUGGGGUGUUGGACCCAGUCAGGUCUUUAUAUAACAAGUCAUACUGUGGGGUGUUGGACCCAGUCAGGUCUUUAUAUAACAAGUCAUACUGUGGGGUGUUGGACCCAGUCAGGUCUUUAUAUAACAAUAUAACAAGUCAUACUGUGGGGUGUUGGACCCAGUCAGGUCUUUAUAUAACAAGUCAUACUGUGGGGUGUUG
ensembl:lncRNA